AGCGAACGCUGGCGGUAGGCCUAACACAUGCAAGUCGAACGAACUCUUCGGAGUUAGUGGCGGACGGGUGAGUAACACGUGGGAACGUGCCUUUCGGUUCGGAAUAACUCAGGGAAACUUAUGCUAAUACCGAAUGUGCCCUUCGGGGGAAAGAUUUAUCGCCUUUAGAGCGGCCCGCGUCUGAUUAGCUAGUUGGUGAGGUAAAGGCUCACCAAGGCGACGAUCAGUAGCUGGUCUGAGAGGAUGAUCAGCCACAUUGGGACUGAGACACGGCCCAAACUCCUACGGGAGGCAGCAGUGGGGAAUCUUGCGCAAUGGGCGAAAGCCUGACGCAGCCAUGCCGCGUGAAUGAUGAAGGUCUUAGGAUUGUAAAAUUCUUUCACCGGGGACGAUAAUGACGGUACCCGGAGAAGAAGCCCCGGCUAACUUCGUGCCAGCAGCAGCCGCCG
rnacentral:rRNA from 1 species